AGCGAGAGCGGAGUUAACUGAGAAGAUGGCCUGCGCUUCCUUCUUUUAUAGUAUUCCCCCCCUCUCCUCCCGGAAACUCCGGACAGACGGCGGAUGGCUGGAGGCUGAUUGAAUCACCAGGCGCUGGCUGUGAUUCAGCUCUCACGCCCGCGAGUUCGUGACUGGGGGGACCGCUCCUUUGUCUUUACCUCCGAAGGCUCUGGGCCAGGCUUUUCCUUAAAUUGGUGAGAAAAAUUGAAUGCAGUGAGAUCUUCUGGUAUUUAAACAUCAGGAAUCAUUUAGAAAAAGCUCCUAAAGACCUAACCAGAGGAAAAAUGUAAUUCAAAGAAUAAAGGAAUCUGAGAAGGCCACCAUUCAUC